GACAGCAGCAGCCGCGGUAAUACAGAGGGUGCGAGCGUUAAUCGGAUUUACUGGGCGUAAAGCGUGCGUAGGCGGCUUUUUAAGUCGGAUGUGAAAUCCCUGAGCUUAACUUAGGAAUUGCAUUCGAUACUGGGAAGCUAGAGUAUGGGAGAGGAUGGUAGAAUUCCAGGUGUAGCGGUGAAAUGCGUAGAGAUCUGGAGGAAUACCGAUGGCGAAGGCAGCCAUCUGGCCUAAUACUGACGCUGAGGUACGAAAGCAUGGGGAGCAAACAGGAUUAGAUACCCCUGUAGUCCCUGUCUCUUAUAA
rnacentral:rRNA from 1 species